rnacentral:lncRNA from 1 species
AAUAUCUUCCGUAAGCCCUUCCGACAGUCCGAUUGAGCUCAAAUUUGGCAGGAAUGUUCGUUUUUCCUUAACAAGUCCACUGAAAUUUUAACAUUUCAGUUUCGACCCCGUUUGGUCACUGCGAACUGUCCCGCACUGUAAUCUUUAUCUGAUCACUUCCUUAUGCAAUUUCUCUCUCUACAGGUGUCAGAAAAAUCAGAAACUUCAAAACUAGCCUUAUAUUAAUGUUCCUGACAUCUCUGCCAAUUUUCAUAAUUUUCUGACACUGUGCAUUUUCUGCUAAUUUUCUCAGUCCCGUUCUUUACAGAAAAUUCUAGAUUUUCCGUUUUCACUCCGAUUUCUUCCAAACAUGUCCAAAAUAUACCAAGGGACCUUUACGAGCUACCAAUUCCAUUUGGAAGCAAUUCCUUUGCAUUUUGACAUUAUUGGAGCCGAAUUAGCAAUAAAGUCAGCUCCAAUGCACUUUCUCCCUUUUUGCAUUACCACUUCGCACUGAAUACUUCCAAACCCUUUGAAAAAACACGCCCUGAGCUUUUCCAAAGCUUCACAAUUAAUUCGGAGAUGCCACAAUUUAUCCUUGCGCUUUACUUUAAUUCUUUUAAUCAAAGUUAGCGUCGGGAAUCCGAAAUUCUCUUUAUUUUUCGUUCGCGCCCAAUUUGCGCCGAAACACUUGUUUAUCUCCGAAAUUCAUUCCAACGCAUCACAAUUCACUCUAGGAUGAUGUCCAACUAGCUCACUCCUCACUUUGACCUUCUAGGUCAAAGUUGACAUCGCAACUCCCAGAUUCUCAUAUGUUACAUUCUCCCCUCGUUAACAAAAGUUUCGUCCGCGAAACUUAGAUACAUAUUACUCUUCAUUGUUUAACGGAGGGAGGUAAAUUCCAACACCAUUUCAAGAUUUCUCAAUUUCAUUCCAUACUAUACUGAGUUUUUUUCCAAAUCAGUUUCUACGAACACUUUGUUCGCAUUUCCAAUCUCAACUCGUCAUCGAUGCUUAUCUCAGCAAUUCUGACUGAUUUAUCCAUAGGACCAAGCUUUUGCUUUCACGGUCCCUAGACAUAAUUCACUUGAAUACCUUCGAUGUACUCCAGUGUACAACCCUUUCAGGGUAUACGGCUAAACCACUCAUCCCAAUUCGGUUCAUAAGUUACCGAUCCGAUAUAGGCCGAUUGCCUAACUCAACCGUGACAUGACAUAAUGCCGCUCGCUCGUAAGCGUAGACCCAAUUAUCACUAUUGGGCGAAAUUCUUAUUAGAGAAUUCGCACAUACUCCAACCAGGAGCAACAAGACCUCGAACCACAACAAUUCCUCGGGUUGGGUCACUACACACUCUGUGUGCAUCACCGAUUUCACGGUCCAACACGUGGCAUUCCACGUACUCGGGUCUAUGCUCGGGCUCCCGUCCUGACCAAAACUCUCUGCCCUACCUGCAGGUAUCGGGCCGCUGUCUCUCACAGCUGACUGCGCCUACCCAAUGGGUCCAGGCUCCACAGUCCACAAGUGGUCCAGGCACGGACUGUCCCCAAGCACUACCCGCAAACGUCGUCUCACGCGACACGUUCUACUGAGCACACGUAUCACUAUCGGCUCCUACGCACCUAGUGCGAGCCACCAGCCCUACGAGUGACCUCUGGCACGCUUCACACUUCGCAAUGCUAAAGUGCUACUGCCAACGCACUCACGGCUGAAACGAAUCUGUACUCUACGAGCACCAACACUCGAGCGCUCUACACGAAUCUCGCAUUAGGCAACUCUUGCCUAUGCACUCAACUACACGGGCACGACCCAUUGACCUCACUUUGAGAUAUUGUUAGGUCCUCAUGCACGUACCAGACGCAAUAGUGAUUCUAUUUUCACUGUUCGAUCUACUAGGACAACCUGCAAAAUGCUUAGUCUUACGCAAGUUCCACGAACAUCGUGACUUGACUCUGGCAAACCACAACUCACAUUAAUUUGAGAGUUGGUCAGCUACUACCACUAUUAUCACACUAUCACCAGCGAUUUGCUAGUGCCCUCGGAUUCUCUACCUGUUCCAACAGGUACUACGCAUCCACAACACAAGCAUAUUUGGGUCUCUACAAUCAAUCACUACUAUCCUCAUACACAAACAUGCAAUGCACCAAUUUGCCCGGUCAUCACCAGCUGUUACAGAUUUCUCAGCCUGGUCUGUGUAUUCACGGUCACUCGCCGUUCGCCGCGAACCCCUCGGUUGCUUUAUUCUCAUUCGCUCUCCAGACAGUGUCGCAGGUGGCACACUUGCAAGUUGUCCCAGAAAGGGAAAGGGCGUCGCCAAUAUACUAUCACUCGCAAGCACUCAUAAUCUGGGUAUUCCGGUUGUCUACAUCGAGUGCACUUUCCUUCCCACUGCACGCAACAUCGUGCCCAAUGGGAACCACCACAAAUCACACAUCGUGGGGAGGAUCGAGUAGAGGAUGAUGUCGAGAGGUGUCCAAAACUUGACUGUUCAUCUGAGUUACUUGGUAGUGGCUUCACUCGCUUACAUUCCUCCAACUCGCGCUCUUCACGCACAAAGGCGUUACCUUGCUCUAUCCAUAGAGCCCGAUCCAAGACUUCAGUAAAAGUCUGUAACUUGAGAUUGUGCACCGUGUUGAAAAUAUCAGGCCGAAGUCCUCGUACAAAACAUUCAGCUCGAUCCUUAUCGUCUUGUACCACACUUGGAACACAACUCACGAUACGGGAGAAUUCUCGCUCACAUUCCCUCACGGAGCGGUCUUCUUGCCGCAACUUUUGAAACCUGUCCCGAAGUUUUCUCUUUUCAUCAGCUUUUCAUCAGCUUCUUGACAGUCACUAAAGCCGCUAAAGCACGCUUCCUUUCACCUUCCAUCUGUGUACUAACAGAAGUCGGAGCACCCGACCCCGACGGAAAUGCCUCUGUCGCCACUGUCGGCCGUACACGACGAGCCGAAACUGGUGUAGUCACCAACUGCUCCACCAUUUCCUGGAGUCUUUUAAUCCGCUCUUCUUGGCGCAAAGCAGCCUUCUGCUGACGCUGCACCACAUCCGUUUGUUGCCGCACUACUCCCACGAGUGUGGCCAACUGCUCGCGAAGCUCCAAGUCUCCGCUCUUCUCGUUCUACUCGGGGACACCACUUGUCCCAUCCCGCGCCGAUCUAAUCAAAGAUCGCCUACGCGCCCAGAACCUGACACGACAACUCGGUCAGUCCGCGACCCUCUAGGCCGAAUACGAAACGACUGAUACGAACUCAAAUCGCGCGCGAAAGUCAUGCAAGGAAGCUUAUUCCCAUCCCUCGGUCUUCAUGUUGUGUCGACCCAACAUGAACUCACUUGGCUGAGAAUAAACUGAACCUUGAAUCUACCUCUAAUAUCCGUCUUAGAGGUUUACUAAACUUGACCCAAUUGCUUUUCCUUUCGCCACACGUCACAAGUCCUCGUCACUCACGAGCGUGAGUCCUUACGGUUUACUAUCCUAGGUCUCCUAGGUCUGCUUAAACCAUUUCUUUUAUUCUCUGUGAUGCUCUUUUAUGCUCUGAUACCAUUUAAUCUGUCACGCCCCGAGCUCCGCCUCUUUGGUCGGAUUCGGGCACGCCGACAGACCGCCGAACGGACAGAGCUUCCCCUGUACGUUCUAGGCGUCAACAAUCUAUACAAUGCAAUACGAGAGGUUCCAAACAGGAACUGUAUUCAAGCACAGAUUGCAUCAGUAUCGAAAACAUAAAGUGUAAACUAUACUAUUACAAGCAUUCAUCUCAGAGAUUCUUUUACAUUUACAAUACUUUACAUUCACAUAGCCACAUAUGCUUUUGAAUUACUACAAAACUUAAACAAAUUACUACACUUUUGUUUCGUUCCACUUGAACUCUGAACUUGACCUUGACCACUUCAGGGUAUUGCUAUCUCGGUCUCAGUGGUGGGGCGCUAUGUACGAAACUACGUCCUGUCCUCGCGCCGCUGCGCCGCUCACAUGCAACCUGUACCCCCAAAACAACACGGGGGUGAGAACUAUAUAAAUAUAGUUCCCAGUGGGUACGGCCACCCAAGAGAAGAGCUCGACCCACCAGGUCCAAAGGAGGCAACAGUAGGUUAGUCCACAAGUAGAUAGAUAAUCAAUUAUGCAACAAAUAAAACCUUACCUUGCCUCGCUGCUAUGCAAUAUGCAAUACCUGUAAAUCUUGUCAGUAGAUCACUUGAUUCUACUUUAUAUCAUUAGCCAUUCAUUAUUCAAUAGCAUUCUUUUCUCUUUAUUAGUUAUUCACGUUCAUUAGCUGUUCUUUACUUAUGGCCGUUCUAUUCUUUCUUAGCUAGUUUCAUUCAUUAGCUAUUUUCUUUAUUCUUUACACUUUUAUGCUCACUGGCAAUUCUUUCCUAAGGUUACUUACCUUAGCCAUCUAGCCACUCGACUCAGUCUUGAGUCAAUCAACCGCGGAGUACCGCGUCAAAUCAGGCUCGAGGUCAAGGACGUCUCACAAGCACCUCAGCCCUAGAAUCCACUCGACAAGGAUACCCAAUCUAUAGCUCAUAAUAUAGACAUAAUGUAAGAUAUCAUUACCCAAUCUUUUAGUUAACCCUCUGGUUAACAAUAACUCACUGACACUAUCCCAAACAUCGGGGAGACGCAACCUGCACCCGACGGGACUGUCAACUGGGGGAGACGCACCUCCUGGUCCAGUAAAGAUGACUACUCCGGAGCUCAUCGUUCAAGGAGGAGCGACCUACCUUGAACCAAACAAAUGUGAGUAUGAUCUGAUCCUCCUUUAGAGGAUUCAACAAUAGACAAUGUCACACUGAACGCUAACCAGCUCUUUAUGCUAGUUUCACACUUUGCUUUCUCGAUGCUAACCCAAUUCCUAGUUAGAAUGUCACCAAGUUUACUAGUGUUAUAGUUCAUGCAUUCAUAGGGUUCUAUGUUCACAUUCUAAGGUUCACAAGUCCUCAUUGGUGAUAGGACUUUACAUUUGCACUUGCACAAUGGCGAUCACCCUAUAAUACAGGACAUGACUACAAUAUCAAUAUAUCUGAAUAUGCUCAAAUACCUCCUAUGUCAAGACACAAGGUUUAAUGCCACUCGAUCUAUUCAUUGUCCUAGUUAUCCACAACCAGGGUUAUCAUUGGCACAUUUUCAUUUACCUUGUUACUGUUCAAAUUCCUACUCAGUUAGAGUUGUCGAUUCAUACCCAAUUCUUAGGGAUUAAUAAAGUUUGCAUAUUCUCACUUAUCUUAUUACCAUCGAGGUUUCGAGUUGAAUUAGUAACAUUCAUAUAGCUCGUACUAAAGUACAUUCAUUUUCAUAUAUGUUCAGACAUAGGCAUCGAACUUCUACUUCAAUUAUGUAGGCUUUAGCAUCUUUGUUCACAAUUCAUAUUCAGCUUACAUGCCCGUGGCAUUUACAGGUUCCACCUGUUAUAUCAUAUAUUUACUCAUAUAAGGAUAAGGAAAAGCGUUAAGAGUGAAACGACCAAAUUGGCCUUUUAACUCAGCAACUGUUGUUGCUGGUGCUUGCUGUACCGGUACAGGAUGAUGGUUGUACCGGUACACCAAUGCGAAUUUCACAGGGCAAUGCUCAUCUUGGCUUCCCACAAUCACAUCAUGUGAUUUCAUUUCACUUCCAAGUUUCCAUAGCAAUUCCCAUAGCUUUCACGUUCAUAAAUCGAUGUUUAGCUAUAAACAUCCACAUUCAUAAGCAUUUAACACUAGCUUUCACGGAUCAUGUAUCACAAUUAUAGACACUGUAGCAUUUGUAUUCGCAUUUCGACCAUUUCAUAUUGAGCAUUCAAUAUCCAUGUGCAUCUAGCAUUCAUAUAGCAUUCAUAUAGCAUUCAUAUUCAUGUUCAUAUUUAUAGUCAUAGUGCUAAAUGGUCAUAUGUCGAUAUAUAGUUCCAUAUAUGCGUCAAAUAAAAACAUGAUCUACUUUGGCAUGGAAGUGACCUAAUCACUUCGGUAAGCACAACCCACCUUUCUUUGAUGCCGGAAUGGAAGAAAUUCGCUUCUAGUGCUUUCCCGAGAAUCGCGACCCGCGCUCGCGACUUUCGACGUCGAAAACCUUCUUUUGGCAAUAUCUUCGCGUAGGAGCGUCGGAUUGCCGAACCGACUUCGCCAGCGAGUUUCUUUUACCCCCAAUUUGGUUUGUACGUAGUCAAUUUCGUGUUCGGACUUCUAUCCUGCAAAAGUGCAUUGUCGGGUCAGUUUUCGAUAAAAACGAGUUUCAAUGCACUUUUCACAAUUACAUAGCGUAAUUCAAGUCUUAUUAGCCCAAGAGCUUCAAAACAGUUAAUAAAAACUGUCCAAAUACUGAAACUCCAUUUUUCUCUUCUUUCUUUUUCAUUUCUUUCUUUUCCUUACUUUCUUUCUUUUCUUUUCCUUUCUUUCUUUCUUUCUUUCCCUGCAACCUGCAGGUUUUCUUUUUUUUUUCUUUUCAUUCUUUCUUUCCUUUCUUUUCUUCCUGUUUUUCCUUUCCCUGCAGCAGCUGCUGCUGAUGCUAUUCCUGCUGCUGCUGCAGCUGCUUGCAUGCUGCUGCUGCUAUUCAGCAGCUCAUGCUGAGCUGCUGUUCCUGCGCCUGCUGUGCUGCGCAAGCAGCUGUUGCUGCUGCUGCUGCUCAGCAGCCCUGCUGAGCUGCAUGCUGCUGUUCUUGCUCCCCGCUACUGCUGAAGCAGCUGCUGCUGCUCCUGCUCAGCAGGGAGAGAGAGAUGAGAGGGAAUAGAGCAAAGAGAGAAAUAGAAAUCUUACUUGCUUUCUUUCUUUUUUUUUUCCUUCUUCAUCUGCUUCUUCUUCUUCUUUUUCUUCUCUUUUCUCUUCUUUUCUCCAUCUCUCUCUCUCUACGUAUGAUGCUGCAGAGGGGAGGAGUGGCAGGGGAUAAGGAUGAAGAGGAGCCUGGCAGGGGGUUUAGUGGAAAUCCACUAAGCAUGCUGAAAUUACCAUAACGCCCCUCGACUUAAGCCAUUUAGCGUCACGGAGUAAAUAUCUUCCGUAAGCCCUUCCGACAGUCCGAUUGAGCUCAAAUUUGGCAGGAAUGUUCGUUUUUCCUUAACAAGUCCACUGAAAUUUUAACAUUUCAGUUUCGACCCCGUUUGGUCACUGCGAACUGUCCCGCACUGUAAUCUUUAUCUGAUCACUUCCUUAUGCAAUUUCUCUCUCUACAGGUGUCAGAAAAAUCAGAAACUUCAAAACUAGCCUUAUAUUAAUGUUCCUGACAUCUCUGCCAAUUUUCAUAAUUUUCUGACACUGUGCAUUUUCUGCUAAUUUUCUCAGUCCCGUUCUUUACAGAAAAUUCUAGAUUUUCCGUUUUCACUCCGAUUUCUUCCAAACAUGUCCAAAAUAUACCAAGGGACCUUUACGA